GAUAGUGCUAAUUUGAACAACCAAUAACGUUUACUUUUCUAUGUGGCUGCGAUUUCGUAGAAGAUUUUGGUAUUGUUGUUAAUUGUUAGUGACGUCUGUUUGUUUUAAAGACUUAAUAUCGCUCUUGAAAUGGUAUUUUUACAUAAUUUUCGCAGGAUAUCGUACGACGUAGUUCUGAAGCACCCACGUUUAUUUUAAGAAUAUGCGUGUUGAAUUUACUGAAAAUAAAGCCCGCAUUUCACUUUGGACACCCUAGUUGGAAACGCACCGCGCAAGAUCGUAACUUUUGGCAAAAUUUUCCAACUUAUACAACAAGUCUAUUAUGUCAACUGCCGAAACCUGUUUUUAAUGCUUCGAGUACAUAUACCGAUCAAUGUUAUAAUGAAAUUAUCGGCGUAAGCAUUCGAGUGGCGCGGUCAAGGCGUGGAACACACGGAAACAACAAUGAAUGUGUUUAUUCAUGCAAUUAUGCUUUUGACGCCACAGUCAUGUGCAACAUGCUGUCAUGUGAUCGAGUGCACAGCAAACUCGACCGAUUGGCAUCUGUAGCAAGCAGGCUGAUGUGUUUGCUGACAGAGAAAUGCCAAUCGACGAGACUGCUAACGAUGCGAACCACCCAAAUAAAUAUUUACGCGACCGACUUGUAUAACGAUUUUCCUCGCGUACAAGUGUCACAAGUGAAGGACUUGGAAGUAAAGGUGACUUUAAUUA